rnacentral:antisense_RNA from 1 species
CCUAUUUCUUUUGCUCUGUUCUCUCUUCUCCUUCUGAUACUCUAACUUCCUUAUCAUCUGCUCUUGCAGUUUGUUUACUUACAAUGCUCCACUAUUAUAUUGCGCCCUGGGGUGUGGUGGUAAAGUGCUGAGGUGGGGGGAAGCAUUCUAAAAUUUUAUGAUUUUAGAAUAAUAGUCUUGAAAACCAAAAAUAAAAUCCCAAGGCCCGCAACCAACUGAACUGAGCCCCCCCGGGCCACAGGAAACCUGAAAACUGAAUUCCCAUUCAAGACUGGAAGGGAGGUUGCCCACGCUUUGCUGUACUCCCUUCCUUUUGGAGUUUAGGCACAACUGAUCAGCAUUAACAUUAAAAUAGGGAUCCUGGCCAGGCGCCAUGGCCCAUGCCUGUAAUACCAGCACUUUGGGAGGCUGAAGGCUAAGAAGUAAAUAGUACUCUCUGUCACAUGUUUAUAUGAGGCUAUUGUUAUUCUUUUAUGUUGAACUAGAUAAUAGUAGACAUUGAUUCUUUAAUUAAUAAAUACUUAAUAAUUUCUUUUAGUGAUAUCUGAAUUAAAGUUGAGAUGAGAUGGCUAUUUAUUAUUAAGAGGUAAUUAUCUCUUUCACCUAGCAAGGUACCAUUUAAUACACUCAAGUAGUUUAGGAAAGGAGAAACCAGUGGUCUGAAUAAUUUAACGUCGAAAGAAAAUUACGCCACAACAUUGAUAAACUCAGGAUUGGUUUUCAGAUUAGAAAACUAAAUAUUAGAAACAAAGAUGGCAUAGAUAA